rnacentral:rRNA from 1 species
UGGGGAAUCUUGGACAAUGGGGGCAACCCUGAUCCAGCCAUGCCGCGUGAGGGAUGACGGCCUUCGGGUUGUAAACCUCUUUCAGCUCCGACGAAGCGAAAGUGACGGUAGGAGCAGAAGAAGCACCGGCUAACUACGUGCCAGCAGCCGCGGUAAUACGUAGGGUGCAAGCGUUGUCCGGAAUUAUUGGGCGUAAAGAGCUCGUAGGCGGUCCGUUGCGUCUGCCGUGAAAACCCGGAGCUCAACUCCGGGCCUGCGGUGGAUACGGGGCGGACUAGAGUCCGGUAGGGGGAGACUGGAAUUCCUGGUGUAGCGGUGGAAUGCGCAGAUAUCAGGAGGAACACCGGUGGCGAAGGCGGGUCUCUGGGCCGGAACUGACGCUGAGGAGC